rnacentral:misc_RNA from 1 species
GAUGAAGAACGUAGCGAAAUGCGAUACGUGGUGUGAAUUGCAGAAUCCCGCGAACCAUCGAGUUUUUGAACGCAAGUUGCGCCCGAGGGACCUGCCGAGGGCACGCCUGCCUCAUGGGCGUCAUACGCCUAUCGACGCCCAGGAUCCCGGCCCUGUUCCUCGUGACGGGCCUGUCCUGAUGCGGAUCGUGGCCCUCCGAGCCCCGACGGCGCGGCGGGCCCAAGUGUGCCUCGGUCGGAUGUGGCCGGGAGCGGCGAGUGGUGGGUUCUGCUCGCGCUGCCCUGUGCCUUUCCCGGCGUCGGGCGUUUUGUCGGACCCACGGACGAGGAAGGAGGAUGUCGGCCUCCUCGGACCAAUACCCCAGGUCAGGCGGGGCUACCCGCC